CCUACGGGUGGCAGCAGUGGGGAAUAUUGGACAAUGGGCGAAAGCCUGAUCCAGCCAUGCCGCGUGUGUGAAGAAGGCCUUCGGGUUGUAAAGCACUUUCAGUGGGGAAGAAAGCCUUGGGGCUAAUACCCUCGAGGAAGGACAUCACCCACAGAAGAAGCACCGGCUAACUCCGUGCCAGCAGCCGCGGUAAUACGGAGGGUGCGAGCGUUAAUCGGAAUUACUGGGCGUAAAGCGCGCGUAGGCGGUCUGAUAAGCCGGUUGUGAAAGCCCCGGGCUCAACCUGGGAACGGCAUCCAGAACUGUCAGGCUAGAGUGCAGGAGAGUAAGGUAGAAUUCCCGGUGUAGCGGUGAAAUGCGUAGAGAUCGGGAGGAAUACCAGUGGCGAAGGCGGCCUUCUGGACUGACACUGACGCUGGGGUGCGAAAGCGUGGGUAGCAAACAGGAUUAGAUCCCGUGUAGUC
rnacentral:rRNA from 1 species